rnacentral:rRNA from 1 species
UGCGUAGGCGGCUAAGUAAGUCAGGAGUGAAAGUUUGCGGCUCAACCGUAAAAUUGCUUUUGAUACUGCUUAGCUGGAAUUAGGAUGAGGUCAGCGGAAUGUGGCAUGUAGCGGUGAAAUGCAUAGAUAUGCCAUAGAACACCAAUUGCGAAGGCAGCUGGCUAGACCUAUAUUGACGCUGAGGCACGAAAGCGUGGGGAGCGAACAGGAUUAGAUACCCUGGUAGUCCACGCCCUAAACGAUGCUCACUCGACGUAUAGCACUCGAUGCUGUGCGUCCAAGGGAAACCGUUAAGUGAGCCACCUGGGGAGUACGACCGCAAGGUUGAA